AUGCGAAGCAAAGGCUUUGGUCAUAAGUGGUGCGGGUGGAUUUCUAUUCUACUCAGGAUGGCCAGUACCAAAGUGAUCGUGAACGGGGUACCCGGGAGAAGUUUUAUGCAUGUCAAGAGCCUCAGGCAGGGUGAUCCCGUCUCGCCCCUGUUGUUUGUGAUUGCCAUGGAUGUGUUAUCCAAAAUCAUGAUCAAAGCUGUUAGCAUGGGAGUCAUCAGUACUUUCACUGGCAUCGCGGCCCACCAGUCCGUGUCGAUCUAUGCGGAUGAUGUGGCAAUGUUUGUCAAGCCCAGGGAAUUGGACCUCACGUUUGUCUGGAUAGUACUACAGGUGUUCGGUGCCGCGUCAGGUUUGAGGGUGAAUUUUCACAAAUCAUUGGCGGUCAUGAUUCAUGGUGACAAUUUUGACAAGGCCCGUGUUGAGUCUUUGCUUCAUUGUCGCAUGGACAACUUCCCAUGGAAAUACCUAGGACUCCAAUUGGCUAUUAGACAACUCACUCGGGCGGAGUGGCCCCCUAUGUUGGAUCAUGCAAAGAGUUUUGCCUCGGCGUGUGUUGGGGAUAUAACCCCUCGGUGUGACCCGCCCAGGAGGGGCCGGGUUACACGGUUGGCGGCUCAUAGAUGA
rnacentral:rRNA from 1 species